rnacentral:misc_RNA from 1 species
CACCACUCAAGCCUCGCUUGGUAUUGGGCGACGAGAGUUCCUCGCGCCCCCAUUUCACCGGCUGGACGGAUCGAACCUCAGCGUUGUGGUCAUUCAAAUCGCUGUCGGGUCGAGACGGACGCGCCGUUAAACCUCUUUAUCACA